rnacentral:rRNA from 1 species
UGUCAGACGAACGCGGCGGCGUGCUUAACACAUGCAAGUCGAACGGUAAGGCCUUCGGGGUACACGAGUGGCGAACGGGUGAGUAACACGUGGGUGAUCUGCCUGCACUUGGGAUAAGCUGGGAAACUGGGUCUAAUACCGAAUAUACCCUGCUGGUCGCAUGGCUGGUGGGGGAAAGCUUUGCGGUGUGGGAUGGGCCCGCGGCCUAUCAGCUUGUUGGUGGGGUGAUGGCCUACCAAGGCGACGACGGGUAGCCGGCCUGAGAGGGUGACCGGCCACACUGGGACUGAGAUACGGCCCAGACUCCUACGGGAGGCAGCAGUGGGGAAUAUUGCACAAUGGGCGCAAGCCUGAUGCAGCGACGCCGCGUGAGGGAUGACGGCCUUCGGGUUGUAAACCUCUUUCAGCAGGGACGAAGCGCAAGUGACGGUACCUGUAGAAGAAGGACCGGCCAACUACGUGCCAGCAGCCGCGGUAAUACGUAGGGUCCGAGCGUUGUCCGGAAUUACUGGGCGUAAAGAGCUCGUAGGUGGUUUGUCGCGUUGUUCGUGAAAACUCACAGCUUAACUGUGGGCGUGCGGGCGAUACGGGCAGACUGGAGUACUGCAGGGGAGACUGGAAUUCCUGGUGUAGCGGUGGAAUGCGCAGAUAUCAGGAGGAACACCGGUGGCGAAGGCGGGUCUCUGGGCAGUAACUGACGCUGAGGAGCGAAAGCGUGGGGAGCGAACAGGAUUAGAUACCCUGGUAGUCCACGCCGUAAACGGUGGGUACUAGGUGUGGGUUUCCUUCCUUGGGAUCCGUGCCGUAGCUAACGCAUUAAGUACCCCGCCUGGGGAGUACGGCCGCAAGGCUAAAACUCAAAGGAAUUGACGGGGGCCCGCACAAGCGGCGGAGCAUGUGGAUUAAUUCGAUGCAACGCGAAGAACCUUACCUGGGUUUGACAUGCACAGGACGCCGGCAGAGAUGUCGGUUCCCUUGUGGCCUGUGUGCAGGUGG